UACGUAGGGUCCGAGCGUUGUCCGGAAUUAUUGGGCGUAAAGGGCUCGUAGGCGGUUUGUCGCGUCGGGAGUGAAAACUCAGGGCUCAACCCUGAGCGUGCUUCCGAUACGGGCAGACUAGAGGUAUGCAGGGGAGAACGGAAUUCCUGGUGUAGCGGUGGAAUGCGCAGAUAUCAGGAGGAACACCGGUGGCGAAGGCGGUCUCUGGGCAUUACUGACGCUGAGGAGCGAAAGUGCGGGUGGACAAACAGGG
rnacentral:rRNA from 1 species